AGUAUUUGCAAAAAGCUUGUGCAGGUGAGCAAUCUGAAAUGUUUUCUAUGAUUUCUUUCCUUCUUGUUGAUGCCUUUGCUUUUAAUGAUUGUUGCACUAUCUGCAAACUUCAUCAGGGAAGAUAGCCCAUAGGAUUGAAAUAUUGUGAUUCUGUUUAAUGAUAUCUAGAGAUGAAUAUUGUUGUAUCCCAUAUUUUUAUUAAAAUUUUCAAAAGAAUGGUCCAUUGCCUAUUGUUUUUAAUGAAUGGUUUCUUUUGUGUUGAUGAGUGGAUUGCAUUGAAACCAUUUUCCUGUCAUGAGAGAUACAUGACCUCUCAUGUACAACCUCUUUGUGCUAGUUCUAUGUUAGAAAAAAUGGAAGUCAUUUUUGUGCUAGAGUCAGAGGGAGACUAAAAUGCAACCAUAAAAAUAUUUUUGCAUUCUAUUAUUCAUGUAUACAAUCCAGGACUAGCUAAAAACUAAUGCCCACUACAUGAUUUAAACUCAUACUUUCAUCAAAGUAACCUCAAAUGCCACAAGGAAUCUGUUCAAAAUUUAACUCGGUAUUAGAUUCAAUAAGUUGUUCAGGCGCUCUGUUUUCUGCAUCUGCUAUUCAAAGUAAUCAAUUUCACUCUCAUUUUUUAUUGUUUAAAGUCACACAAAUGCCUCACCUCCUUUUCCUUGAGUGAGAAAUAUGAAAUUUGAUUUUUCCUUGGACUAUCCAAAUUAGUAUUUGAAGACUAGUCUUCAUCAUUACUUUCCUUGAUGAUGCUUUGUUUGUACCCGAUUUGUU
rnacentral:misc_RNA from 1 species